GCAGAGGCGCAGGUCCGGGGCGGAGACGUGCAGCCGGGACUGCGCCGUGGGGAGUCCCCGGCCGGGGCGGGUGGCGGCGCGUGGAACAGGGACUCGCGCCGGCGCGUGCGGGCUCUCUGGCAGGAAGGCCCAGCCUUCGCGCCCCGCCAGGGCCGAGAGGGUCCAAAUCCCAAGUCUCAGACUGGAGUGCUCGGCGGAGCGGGGCUGGGCGAGUAGCGAAGAGGAGUCAGAGGCUGCCCCGGCGCAAGCUUCUCUGGCCUGAGCCAUCCCUCAGUCCUAGCCCCACCUGUCUCCUCUGGCUCCUCCCUCCCCUCCUUGAGUCGCUCCAAGCCAGAAGAGGACUCACUUCUGCUCCUGGCAGCCAGGGGACACACCUGGCUGCUGACCUCAGGACACCCAGGGCUGGUCCAAGGAGACGCACCUCCCGGGGGCACAGAAUCCCACCCCUCGGUAGCCCUGACCCUCCAGCUCCCGCGCCUCGCAGCCCUACCGCAUCCCGCGUCUAAAGGGCGGGACCGGGCCGUUGGGUCGCCCCUCCCACUCUCCAUUCCUUUUCUCCCUCGGAAACCACCGAGCACAAAGGCAGCAUUGAUUCUCUGCCACCCCCAGAGCGGUCUCUGGAAGGCUCCGCCACCACGCGCUCGCC
rnacentral:lncRNA from 1 species